rnacentral:rRNA from 1 species
UACGGAGGGUGCGAGCGUUGUCCGGAAUCAUUGGGCGUAAAGGGCGCGUAGGUGGCCCGGUCAGUUCGUGGUGAAAGCGCGGGGCUCAACCCUGCGUCGGCCAUGAAUACUGCCGCGGCUGGAGCACUGUAGAGGCAGGCGGAAUUCCGGGUGUAGCGGUGGAAUGCGCAGAUAUCAGGAGGAACACCGGUGGCGAAGGCGGGUCUCUGGGCCGAUACUGACACUGAGGAGCGAAAGCGUGGGGAGCGAACAGG